AAUUCUGCCAAGGAUAGCUAGCUAGCAACGCUUGUCUUCUUUAUACUAAUCUAGUUGUUGCUAGUGUUUUGUUAUUGAAAUGCGAUGGAGGGGUCGGAUACAUACCUCAUACGACCUAACCACCAGCACAAGUUUAAAGCGGCCAUUGUGAAGGAGUGUAUUCGUGAAAUAGUGAGGGAGCGUCUCUCUGGAGUGCGGUAUGACCCAGAGGAAACUCCAGAGCUGUCCCGUACACUGGCAGACAGCAUUAAGGACAAAGUGAAGAAUGCAGGGUUUGACAGAUAUAAGCUUGUUGUGCAGGUGGUCAUUGGAGAACAACGUGGACAGGGAGUCAAGAUGUCUUCAAGAUGUUUGUGGGAUGCUGACACAGACAACUACGCAGAGGAUAUUUUCAUGAAUGACAACUUGUUUUGUGUGGUGGCAGUUUUUGGAAGCUAUUUCUACUGAGAAGGAACGAGGAAAGGAUGGAUCACAGAGGAUUCUUUCAGAUGAAAAGAUGUGAGCAAGCCAGCCCUCACCUGCACACCUUAAUGCUAUUCAGACUGUACUAUAUAUAAAGACUAAUGAGGCGGAAGUGAGCAGCUGAAGUGAUCAAGCUUAAUUGAAUCAAUUAGUUAAAUGACUCAUGCUUAUCACAUAUACAUGCCAAAGUUUACCCUUCUAUUUCUGGUUGCAAAACAGGGAAUUCACUUUUUGAAGUUCAGAUACAUCACAAAUAUCCUUUGGCCACACUGCAAAUCCACAUUAUUAUUAUUAUUAUUAUCAUUAUUGUGAAGUUAAUUUUAUUUGUUUUCUUUUCUUACAUUUAUUUGAAGUUUGUGCUGGUUUCCUUUCUCUUAAUUCAAGUUGAAUAUAUACAUACAUGUUUUUAUGUUAUCUGUCAUAUGUUAUCUUAUUUGAUAUUAU